GUAAGUUUGAUCCUGGCUCAGAUUGAACGCUGGCGGCAUGCCUUACACAUGCAAGUCGAACGGCAGCACGGGGGCAACCCUGGUGGCGAGUGGCGAACGGGUGAGUAAUACAUCGGAACGUGUCCUGUAGUGGGGGAUAGCCCGGCGAAAGCCGGAUUAAUACCGCAUACGAUCUACGGAAGAAAGCGGGGGAUCGCAAGACCUCGCGCUAUAGGGGCGGCCGAUGGCAGAUUAGCUAGUUGGUGGGGUAAAGGCCUACCAAGGCGACGAUCUGUAGCUGGUCUGAGAGGACGACCAGCCACACUGGGACUGAGACACGGCCCAGACUCCUACGGGAGGCAGCAGUGGGGAAUUUUGGACAAUGGGGGAAACCCUGAUCCAGCAAUGCCGCGUGUGUGAAGAAGGCCUUCGGGUUGUAAAGCACUUUUGUCCGGAAAGAAAACUUCUGCCCUAAUACGGUGGGAGGAUGACGGUACCGGAAGAAUAAGCACCGG
rnacentral:rRNA from 1 species